UACGGGGGGGGUAAGCGUUGUUCGGAAUUACUGGGCGUAAAGGGCUCGUAGGCGCCAACUAAGUCGGACGUGAAAUCCCUCAGCUUAACUGGGGAACUGCGUCCGAUACUGGAUGGCUUGGAUUUGGGAGAGGGAUGCGGAAUUCCAGGUGUAGCGGUGAAAUGCGUAGAUAUCUGGAGGAACACCGGUGGCGAAGGCGGCACCUGGACCAAC
rnacentral:rRNA from 1 species